AUUGACCGCUGGCGGCAGGCCUAACACAUGCAAGUCGAACGAGUGGCGGACGGGUGACUAAUGUCUGUGAAUCUGCCUGAUGGAGGGGGAUAACCACUGGACACGGUAGCUCAUACCGCAUCCCUCGGAUGUGCCCAAGUGGGAUUAGGUAUGUGGUGGGGUAAUGGCCUACCAAGCCGACGUCCACUAGCUGGUCUGAGUGGAUGACCAGCAACACGGGGACUGAGACACGGCCCGGACUCCUACGGGAGGCAGCAGUGGGGAAUAUUGCGCAAUGGGGGAAACCCGGACGCAGCCAUGCCGCGUGAAUGAAGAAGGCCGUCGGGUUGUAAAGUUCUUUCGGUGACGAGGCGUUAAUCACAGAAGAAGCACCGGCUAACUCCGUGCCAGCAGCCGCGGUAAUUC
rnacentral:rRNA from 1 species